rnacentral:rRNA from 1 species
GUGCCAGCAGCCGCGGUAAUACGGAGGGUGCAAGCGUUAUCCGGAUUCACUGGGUUUAAAGGGUGCGUAGGAGGGUAGGGAAGUCAGUGGUGAAAUCUCCGGGCUUAACUCGGAAACUGCCGUUGAUACUCUCUAUCUUGUAUCUUGUGGAGGUGAGCGGAAUAUGUCAUGUAGCGGUGAAAUGCUUAGAGAUGACAUAGAACACCAAUUGCGAAGGCAGCUCACUACCCAAACAUUGACUCUGAGGCACGAAAGCGUGGGGAUCAAACAGGAUUAGAUACCCUGGUAGUCC